GGAAGCUUACCCAAGUGGUUGAAGGGUUCGGUCUUGAAAACCGAGAGGCGGUGCGAGCCGCGCGGGGGUUCGAAUCCCUCAGCUUCCGCCA
rnacentral:tRNA from 1 species